rnacentral:rRNA from 1 species
GAAAAGAAAUCAACCGAGAUUCCCCUAGUAGCGGCGAGCGAACGGGGAGCAGCCCUUAAGCUGUUUAGAAUUUAGUGGAAUCCUUUGGGAAGAGGAGCGAUACAGGGUGAUAGCCCCGUACUCGAAGUCCAGGUCAUGGUACUAAGCUAACGACAAGUAGGGCGGGACACGUGAUAUCCUGUUUGAAGAUGGGGGGACCAUCCUCCAAGGC